rnacentral:rRNA from 1 species
UGCGUAGGCGGAAAUUUAAGUCAGUGGUGAAAUCUCUCGGCUCAACCGAGAAACUGCCAUUGAAACUGAUAAGCUUGAGUGUAGUUGUAGUAGGCGGAAUAUAGCAUGUAGCGGUGAAAUGCUUAGAUAUGCUAUAGAACACCGAUCGCGAAGGCAGCUUACUAAACUAUUACUGACGCUCAUGCACGAAAGCGUGGGGAGCAAACAGGAUUAGAUACCCUGGUAGUCC